rnacentral:rRNA from 1 species
GUAGGGAAUAUUGCACAAUGGGCGAAAGCCUGAUGCAGCAACGCCGCGUGCGCGAUGAAGGCCUUCGGGUCGUAAAGCGCUUUUCGGGGAGAUGAGGAAGGACAGUAUCCCCGGAAUAAGGCUCGGCUAACUACGUGCCAGGAGCCGCGGUAAAACGUAGGAGCCAAGCGUUAUCCGAAUUCACUGGGCGUAAAGCGCGUGCAGGCGGCAUGAUAAGUUGGAUGUGAAAUCUCCUGGCUCAACUGGGAGGGGACGUUCAAUACUGUCAAGCUAGAGGACGGCAGAGGGAGGUGGAAUUCCCGGUGUAGUGGUGAAAUGCGUAGAUAUCGGGAGGAACACCAGUGGCGAAAGCGGCCUUCUGGGCCGAUCCUGACGCUCAGACGCGAAAGCUAGGGGAGCGAACGGGAUUAGAUACCCUAGUAGUCC